UCGUCCAACCCAACUACGGAAGUAACGAUGACUUCCUCUCUACCGCUCUGUCUUCUCUUCAUCUUCUCCGCUUGAAUAGCAUUGAAACUGAGUUCCUAAUCGAUCCACUUCUACAUAAUCAAUACCUCACUUUGAUCAAUCAAUAUAUUUUUUAUGAUUUCGUCUCAUCUUCCUCUUUCCCUCCUUCUUUAUAUACUGAUCUUAUUUCCUGUGUACAAACCAAAACUUUAGGACCGUCCUAUACCCAAGAUUACUCAAGAGCCGACAGAUUACUCAAGUGUAAGCUUAAUCAUGUCUUCUUACUUGUGACUCUCAUUCCUAACUAAUCAAAAAGGUACUUACCCUGUUUGAUGUGUGUUUUGCUUCUCUACUUUGGCUAUGGUUUUGAUGAUGAUGUUUUAGCUCACACAUAUAUAUCUCCUGGAUUUCGCCUUUACCUCUCAAGUCAGUUUACCAUUUCUUAUUACCAACGGAGCAAGAGUCACAAGAUCAAGACCCAUGUGUAGCUGCUGAGAAGAAACGGCUUGGGUUGCUUGAAGCUGAGAAGAAGGCACGUGCUCGCGUCCAGAAAGUACGCCACGUUGAUAACUCUGUUUCUAAUCAGCGUGAGAUGGAGAGAAGUAAAAUGAGGGACAAACUUGAAGAUAAAUUGCACAGUGCAAAGAGACAUAGAUCAGAGUUUCUUCAUCAGAGAAGAAGACAGCGUGAUUCGAUUAGUAUCUACUGCGAUAUGAUGCAGCAAGAUGAUGAUCAUCUCUAUAGAAAGCUGUCAAGGUGUUGGAGGUGCUUUGUGAUUCAGAAGAAGACAACCUUGGACUUGGCUUAAGAUUAUGAUGCCUUGAAGAUUAACGAGUCACUUCCGUUUUGAGCAACUCGUGGUGCUAACAAAGUCGCCUGCUACUCUUAAAGCUGUUAACUCUUUGAUUGACCGCCUUCAAGUUCGCUUAUAAAAUUAUUGCCACUGCUCUCCUACUCUGCUCCCUUUGCAAUAUAUCAUCAAUAAUAAAAGCCUCUGUCAACAUGAUGCACAACCUUCAGCAAGGAAAUCUGGGCAUCAAUUUGCAAAGAACAGCACCGUGGCUAGGGGAAUAUCAGCUGCUUGCAUCAGCAACUCAACCCUCACUUACAGAUGAGCUCUAUUGGAAGCUACGUUCUAUGCGGCAUCAAAAUCUCUACCCUUGAUUCUUAUCUCCAUACCUCAAAAGUAUUAGCAACAUCAAAACUCAGCAAAGAUGAGAGACCACGUAAAGAGGGUAUUCAUGUAAUACAUUGUUAUUAUUCUCAAAUUUACUUUACCUUACUUUGCCAUUGUCUGUCCACAGCAAGCAUCUGAAAUACACAUUUUAGGGAUAUUUUGUGUUACAUAUGAUCAAGUAUUUUUAUCAACGGAAGAAAGUAUCACACACGAGUAAUGGAGAGACUUGUGGUUUCACAAACAUCCCAUGCUAAGUUAGCACUCAUGAUGUUGCAUCAGCCAAUAUAAAGGAACAUUUUGAGAACGGACUAAAAACAUGAAUUUUGUGUGAAACUAUAGAGGAUAUCUAAGUGGACCUCAUAUUAACUCGAGCUUUAGGACAUUUUACAUUUAGAAGUUCCCCAAGAAUUUUUUUACCGUACUGUGAAAGAAUCAUGAGACUCUGGAUCAGCCAUCUUCAACAAUGGAAACGGAAACAUGCAACGUAUGCGAUGAUGUGUCAACAUGUUCCCUGGUUUAUUCAAGUAAGUGCGUUCAAGUAAUAAAAUAUCUAAAUGUUUUGUGACAACAAAUAGGUUAUAUUUCAUUACAAAACAUUUGAUUUGUUUCGGUAGGUUGUGUCCCUUUUUCGUUUGAAUUUUUCAAUUGUUUUAUUUGUAUUUCAUUACAAAGUAUUUGAUGUAUUUAUUGGAAAAUAAUUAGAUCUUCUUAUCGUGA